ensembl:miRNA cin-mir-4177 cin-mir-4177
UAUUUUUAAAACAGCAAUUAAAAUCGAAACCCACUUUUAAAACAGCAAUUAACAUUGGGGUUAAUUGCUGUUUUAAAAAUA